GACGAACGCUGGCGGCGUGCUUAACACAUGCAAGUCGAACGGUGAAGGGAUCAGCUUGCUGGUUCUGGAUGAGUGGCGAACGGGUGAGUAACACGUGAGUAACCUGCCCCCUUCUUCUGGAUAACCGCAUGAAAGUGUGGCUAAUACGGGAUAUUCUGGGUCUGUCGCAUGAUGGGUCUGGGAAAGAUAUUGUUUCGGUGGGGGAUGGGCUCGCGGCCUAUCAGCUUGUUGGUGGGGUGAUGGCCUACCAAGGCGGUGACGGGUAGCCGGCCUGAGGGGGUGGGCGGUCACGCUGGGACGGAGACACUGCGCAGACUCCUACGGGAGGCAGCAGUGGGGAAGAUUGCACGGUGAGCGUAAGCCUGAUGCAGCGAGGCCGCGUGAGGGAUGGAGGCCUUCGGGUUGUAAACCUCUGUCGCUAGUGAGGUAGGGCUGCUCCUUGUGGGUGGGUUGACGGUAGCUGGAUAAGAAGCGCCGGCUAACUACGUG
rnacentral:rRNA from 1 species